rnacentral:pre_miRNA from 1 species
CAAAUACUUCCUCCGUCCGGAAAUACUUGUCCUAAAAAUGAAUAUAAUAGAUGUAUCUAUAACUAAAAUAAGUCUAGAUUCAUUCAUUUCUAGGACAAGUAUUUCCGGACGGAGGGAGUACCUC